rnacentral:tRNA from 1 species
GCCUUCGUGGUGUAACGGUAGCACUAAUCGGCUCUCAUUCGAGAGGUCCAGGUUCGAAUCCCGGCGAGAGCA